CCCGCGCCGCCAAACUUUCCGCAGACUUGCAGCGAACUCCGGCCCCGGCCGCGCACCCGGCCCCGGGGGAGGAGAGGGAGGAAGUGGGACUGUGUGCUCCCAGAGGCCAAAGCUGUGGCUCCAUGGCCUCAGGGUCAAGAAGAGGGAGGGGCCGCAAGGCUGCUGGCCCCAGCCAGGAUCCUGAAUGGCUUUUUAGCACGCUCCAAGCUCCACAUUUGGGAGCUACCAGAUGACAAACCUGACUGGCUGAAAGCUGGACUGGCCUUGGGUACCUCUAUCUUCUUGUGGAUCUAUCUCAUCAAACAUAAUGAAGAUGUUUUAGAAUAUAAAAGAAGAAAUGGGUUGGAAUAAACU